rnacentral:rRNA from 1 species
GAUGAACGCUGGCGGCGUGCUUAACACAUGCAAGUCGAACGAAGCACUUUAUUUGAUUUCCUUCGGGACUGAUUAUUUUGUGACUGAGUGGCGGACGGGUGAGUAACGCGUGGGUAACCUGCCUUGUACAGGGGGAUAACAGUUGGAAACGGCUGCUAAUACCGCAUAAGCGCACGGCAUCGCAUGAUGCAGUGUGAAAAACUCCGGUGGUAUAAGAUGGACCCGCGUUGGAUUAGCUAGUUGGUGAGGUAACGGCCCACCAAGGCGACGAUCCAUAGCCGACCUGAGAGGGUGACCGGCCACAUUGGGACUGAGACAGGCCCAAAUCCUACGGGAGGCAGCAGUGGGGAAUAUUGCACAAUGGGCGAAAGCCUGAUGCAGCGACGCCGCGUGAGCGAAGAGUAUUUCGGAUGUAAAGCUCUAUCAGCAGGG